rnacentral:lncRNA from 1 species
UCUUAUUUAGGGCCCCCACCCACCGCUCAGGGCUGGGGGCCAGGGAGGGAGGACAGUAGGUCAUCCGCCCCUCAAUCUUAUUUAGGGCCCCCACCCGCCACACAGGGGUGGGGGCCAGGGGGAGAGGGCAGUAGGUCACCCGCCCCUCAUUGUUAUGUAGCCAAUGGCUUCUUUACUACCUGGAGAACGCAUGUGCUGGGCCAAUAAAACUGCUCCUAAUUUACAUUCAAUAACCCUGAUCUAAGGAUAUAUACACAUCACAUAUUAUCCCAGCACACAAUGUAAUCAACAUCCUACAGAAACAGUGGUAGUGUGGUGCCAUUUAUCAGCCUUUCCCUUACGACACACUGUAUAGUGAGUUCUUGACACAUCAAAGCACUUUGUUGUGUUAUAUUUAGGUGUAACUAAAAGUAUCCCUGUAAAAGAGGGCCUUCUGAAAGCUGUGUAUAUGUAAGGCUUGCUACACAUUAUAUCAUCAUUAUGUAUGCCAUUUGGAACCUAUCACCCAUUUUUUAACGAAAUCCCCCUCUCUUUUAGGAUCCUUUAAAUGGGCUUACUCAGACACAAUGGAGGCCUAAUUAAUUCCAUCACCCGAUAUGGCGUUCACUUCGGGAAAAUUAUCUAUACAGUUCAGUAAACUAAGUGUGCAAUCCCUAUCACCAUCUUUGUAUUGAUAAGGAUUGUAAUAGACAACAGAUUUCUAGGGGCACUUAAUAUAUCAUUAAUAAAUAUACCCUGUAGCACUUAAUAUAUCAUUAAUAUAUAUAUACCCUGUGGCACUUAAUAUAUUGUGUAUCCUUAAUAUAUCAUUAAUAUAUACACCCUGUGCCAUUUCAUAUGUUGUGUACCCUUAAUAUGUCAUUAAUAUAUAUAUACCCUGCGGCAUUUAAUAUAUUGUGUACCCUUACAUAGUUACAUAGCUGAAAAGAGACUUGCGUCCAUCAAGUUCAGCCUUCCUCACAUUUGUUUUUUGCUGUCGAUCCAAAAGAAGGCAAAAAAACCCAGUUUGAAGCACAAUUUUGCAACAAGCUAGGAAAAAAAUUCCUUCUUGACCCCAGAAUGGCAGUCAGAUUUAUCCUUGGAUCAAGCAGUUAUUACCCUACAUUGAAAGAUUAUAUCCUGGAAUAUUCUGUUAUUGCAAGUAUGCAUCUAGUUGCUGUUUGAACAUCUGUUUGGACUCUGAUAAAACCACUUCUUCAGGCAGAGAAUUUCCCAUCCUGCUUGUUCUUACAGUAAAAAAAACCUUUCCUUUGCCUUAGACGAAAUCUUCUUUCUUCCAGUCUAAUCGCAUGGCCUCGUGUGCUAUGUAAAGUCCGGUUUGUGAAUAGAUUUCCACACAAUGGUUUGUAUUGGCCCCAAAUAUUUUGUAUAAUGUUACCAUAUCCCCUCUCGGGCAACGUUUUUCUAAACUAAAUAGGUUUAAAUUUGUUAACCUUUCUUCAUGGCUGAUAUUCCUUUUAUUAAUUUUGUAGCCCGCCUCUGCACUUUUUCUAGUGCCAUAAUAUCCUUCUUUAGAACAGGUGGUCUUACCAGUGAUUUAUAAAGAGGCAAAAUGAUAUUCUCGUCCCGAGAAUGAAUGCCCUUUUUCAUGCAUGAAAAUACCUUACUGGCCUUGGCCACUGCUGAUUGACAUUGCACAUUGUUGCAUAGUUUGUUGUCUAUAACAAUUCCCAAGUCCUUUUCGUGUGUUGUUAUCCCUAAUUCACUUCCAUUAAGGGUAUACGUUGCUUGUGUAUUCUUUACACCGAAGUGCAUAACGUUGCAUUUUUCAACAUUAAAUUUCAUCUGCCAUUUGAGUGCCCAGUCCCUCAGUCUAUCUAAAUCCCUCUGCAGCAAAGUAAUAUCUUGCUCACAUUGUAUUAUUUUACAAAGUUUUGUGUCAUCUGCAAACACUGAAAGAUGAGGGACACCACUUGCCACCUCUGUCCAGCUUGAAAAUUUUCCAUUAACGACAACUCUUUGUACUCUGUUUUUAAGCCAAUGUUCUACCCAAGAACAAGCAUUUUCAUCUAGACCGAUUUCCUUGAGUUUGAACACUAAUCUAUUGUGUGGAACUGUAUCAAAUGCCUUGGCAAAAUCCAAAUAGAUCACAUUCACUGCAACACCCUGAUCUAUACUUCUACUUACUUCUUCGUAGAACGCAAUCAAUUUAGUUUGACAUUAGUUUGUGCUUCAUAAAAGCGUGAUGAUUUUUGCUGAUAACCAUGUUCUUCUCAAGGAAUUCUUGAAUAUUAUCCCUUAAUAACCUUUCAGAUAUUUUACCAGCCACAGAAGUUAAGCUCCAUAAUUUCCAGGCAAGGAUUUUGAACCCUUUUUGAAUAUAGGAACCACAUCUGCCUUCCUCCAAUCCUCCGGAACACUUCCUGAAAGAAAAUAAUCUUGAAAGAUUAAAAACAGAGGUUCACUUAUUUCUACACUUAGUUCCUUACGUACUCGUGGAUGGAUACCGUCAGGCCCUGGAGCUUUGUUUAUAUUAACUUUCUUUAGUUGCUGCAGCACCUUGUCUUGAGUUAACCAAUCACAAUUAUUCUGCAAGUUUUUAGCAGCAAUCAUUUGCAAAUCUAUUGCCAUGGGUUCUUCCUUAAUAUAUACGGAGGAAAAAUAGUUAUCUAAAAUUCCUGCCUUUUCCUGGUCUUCAUUAACUAACACCCCCAUUUCAGUUUUUAGUGUACCUACACUCAUUUUUUUUAAAGAAUUUAUGUACUUAAAAAAUGCUUUGGGGUUGGUUUUGCUCUCUUUAGCUAUCAUUAUUUCAUUUUGAAGUUUAGCAAAUCUAAUCGCCUUUUUGCACGCAUUAUUUGCCUCCUUAUAUCUUUUAUAAGAUGCAUCUGAUUUGUCUGAUUUAAAUGCCCUGUCUUAGUUGUAAUCUCUUGUUUUACUUCUCUACUAAGCCACAUUGGUUUUAAUUUGUUUAUUUUAUAUUUAUUACCCAAUGGUACAUACUGAGAAAUGUACCUUUGUAAUAUUUGUUGGAAGAUGAUCCAUUUAUCCUCAAUGUUCUUUUCACUAAAGAGUUUAUGCCAGUCAAUAUAUUGUAAAGCUUCCCUUAACUUAUUGAAAUUGGCCUUUUAAACUUUAUAUGUUUUAGUAUACCCCAUGUGCUUUUGUUUUUUUGAGUUCAUUUCAAAGGACUAUUUCCCAAGUGCUCACCUACUUGAAUGUUGGUCAAAAGAUCAACGUUGUUUGUUAAAACCAGGUCCAGACAAGCGUCCAUUCUAGUUGGUGCUUGUACAAGUUGUGACAUGAAGGUGUAAUUUAACAAGUUUAAAAACCUAAUUCACUUUGCUGAGCUACUAAUCCCUCUGUCCCAAUUUAUGUCCGGGUAACUAAAAUCUCCAAUAAUUAAAGUGUUACCCAGAUUUGCAGCUUUCUCAAUUUGCUCAAACAGCUGUUGUUCCUCGUCAAUAUUAACAUUAGGUGGUUUAUAACAUAUCCCAACCAAUAGUUGAUUUCCCUUAUUUUCCCCCAAGCAGAUAUUUACCCAUAAAGCUUUUUUUUUUUACCCACAUUUUCCUCAUCGCAUUCCAUUUGAACCCUUAAUAUAUCAUUAAUAUAUAUACCCUGUGCCAUUUAAUAUAUUGUGUACCCUUAAUAUAUCAUUAAUAUAUAUACCCUGCAGCACUUAAUAUAUUGUGUACCAUUAAUGUCAUUAAUAUAUAUACCCUGCGGCACUUAAUAUAUU